ACUUCCCAUCAACCCUUGAGGCUGCAGGGACCAGCCCUUUGCUAGGUGCGCUUUGCUUCCUAACCCUUACCCGGGUUGGAGAGUCCACCUCCGAAGGUUUUUUCCUGACUUUUGUUUUUUCAUAACUAAUACAGUGGGAAAGCCCGGGUGGCCUAGAAUCCAGUGUCGUCCCUGAAGGCUUGUCAGGUGUUCAAGUAUAUCUUCCACCUUAGACCUUGUGGGCUCGCUCAUCGUGAGGGCGAGAGGAGGAAAAGCCCAUUGGGCUCUCGGCUGAGGGUGAGGUGCCGGACUGCUGAUGAAAUCCUUGGCAUCAUCGGAGAUCUCAUCGAAUGCCUCAUCGUCGAAGUCCCAGGUGGCUGAGGUAACAUUGGCCAAGGUUUCAUUAUCGUUGUCUCCCAUGAAGGGGGAAAGGCCACUGACCCUGGAGAAACAAGAGCAGGAGAGCAGAUAUGGAUAGGAGAGGCUGCGACGACCAAAUGAGGAAAUUGAGGCACAGCCUAGGCUCAAGUAACCUGUCCAAAGAUUCAGAGCCAGUGAGAUUAGAACCCAGGUAUCUGACUCUAGAGCCCCUUAAGUGCUAUAUUAUCCUAACAUUUCUGUGAAGAUGAAGUAAAUUGCAAUAUUCAGCACUGGCACCAGGCUUGGUCCACAGUAAGGAGCCCAUCCAUGCCCAGAGAUAUCAUGCAGUUCUGCUGGGUUCCCUCCACUGCCUCACUAAGCUGUGAGUGCAGAAAUGACUCUGACCAGAAGCUUAAGCCAAAUAAACUUUGGAAGCUAAAGAAUUUCAAAACAA